rnacentral:rRNA from 1 species
AUUGAACGCUGGCGGCAUGCCUUACACAUGCAAGUCGAACGGCAGCACGGGAGCAAUCCUGGUGGCGAGUGGCGAACGGGUGAGUAAUAUAUCGGAACGUGCCCGGUCGUGGGGAUAACGUAGCGAAAGCUACGCUAAUACCGCAUACGAUCUACGGAUGAAAGCGGGGGAUCGCAAGACCUCGCGCGAUUGGAGCGGCCGAUAUCAGAUUAGGUAGUUGGUGAGGUAAAGGCUCACCAAGCCGACGAUCUGUAGCUGGUCUGAGAGGACGACCAGCCACACUGGGACUGAGACACGGCCCAGACUCCUACGGGAGGCAGCAGUGGGGAAUAUUGGACAAUGGGCGAAAGCCUGAUCCAGCAAUGCCGCGUGAGUGAUGAAGGCCUUAGGGUUGUAAAGCUCUUUUACCCGAGAUGAUAAUGACAGUAUCGGGAGAAUAAGCUCCGGCUAACUCCGUGCCAGCAGCCGCGGUAAAGUG